rnacentral:rRNA from 1 species
AAUCAACGCUGGCGGCGUGCCUCAGACAUGCAAGUCGAACGCGAAAGUCCCCUUCGGGGGACAAGUAGAGUGGCGCACGGGUGAGUAACACGUAGGUAAUCUACCUUCGGAUGGGGAAUAACAACCGGAAACGGUUGCUAAUACCGCAUAAUGCAGCGGCACCUAAUGGUGACAGUUGUUAAAGCGGGGGAUUGAAAGACCUCGCGUCUGAAGAGGAGCCUGCGGCGGAUUAGCUUGUUGGAGGGUAACGGCCUACCAAGGCGACGAUCCGUAGCCGGCCUGAGAGGGCGGUCGGCCACACUGACACUGACAUACGGGUCAGACUCCUACGGGAGGCAGCACUCGGGAAUUUUGGGCAAUGGGCGAAAGCCUGACCCAGCAACGCCGCGUGAAGGAUGAAAUCCCUCGGAUGUAAACUUCGCAAGAACGGGAAGAAUAAGUAGGGACAACCCCACCCCUAUGAUGACGGUACCGUUUGUAAGCUCCGGCUAACUCCGUGCCAGCCGCCGCGGUAAC